rnacentral:tRNA from 1 species
GCGGGGGUAACCAAGCCAGGCCAACGGUGAUAGACUCAAGAUCUAUUCUCGCAGGAGUUCAGGGGUUCGAAUCCCUUCCCCCGCACCA